rnacentral:tRNA from 1 species
AGUUAAUGAGCUUGUAAAAGCUUGUAUUUUGAAAAUACACCAUAGGAUAAUUCCUAUUAACUU